rnacentral:lncRNA from 1 species
UAGAAUAUACAAAAAUUUUGAAAAAUGCUUAGCAACAUUUCCAUGGUGACUUCACAGUUUUUGAUUAACGUCAGCAGCAAAAGACAAACGUUUUCGAUGUUAUGUAAGCCGAAAACGUUUGGCAAUGGAGAGUUUUUGUUGUGAGAUUGGCGCAGCUGCUUUGGUAUGUACCUGAUUCCAAAAGUACUGCUUGACUUUGCCAUAAUGGGGUAUGUCUUGAAAUGAGUCCCAAAUUUUCUCAAUCUGAAUCAAAUCAAGGAUUGUGGCAUUAUACUCAAACAACAGGUACAAAAAUGAAGCCUCAAACUAAAGACCAGUUGAAGAUGGUUCUCCAAGAACAUGGAUCAAUAUUCUACCAGAUGUUUGUUGUGCCUAUGUCAAAUCAAUGCCAAAGUAAGUUGCUGAUAUGUAUGCUGCAAAAAGAGAGCACCAAAAUAGUGAUUGGACAUAUUUGCUGGAUUUGCAUU